GUCUUUUCUAUGGAAGCUUGCUUCCACUGAGGAGAUAGUGGCGAACGGGUGAGUAACACGUGGGUAACCUGCCCAUAAGAGGGGGGUAACAUCCGGAAACGGGUGCUAAUACCGCAUAGUUUUCUUGAUCGCAUGAUUGAGAAAGGAAAGACGGCCUUUGUGCUGUCGCUUAUGGAUGGACCCGCGGCGUAUUAGUUAGUUGGUGAGGUAACGGCUCACCAAGACGAUGAUACGUAGCCGACCUGAGAGGGUGAUCGGCCACAUUGGGACUGAGACACGGCCCAAACUCCUACGGGAGGCAGCAGUAGGGAAUCUUCCGCAAUGGACGAAAGUCUGACGGAGCAACGCCGCGUGAGUGAAGAAGGUUUUCGGAUCGUAAAACUCUGUUGUCAGAGAAGAACAAGUUGGAGAGUAACUGCUCCAGCCUUGACGGUAUCUGACCAGAAAGCCACGGCUAACUACGUGCCAGCAGCCGCGGUAAUACGUAGGUGGCAAGCGUUGUCCGGAUUUAUUGGGCGUAAAGCGAGCGCAGGCGGUUCCUUAAGUCUGAUGUGAAAGCCCACGGCUCAACCGUGGAAGGUCAUUGGAAACUGGGGAACUUGAGUGCAGAAGAGGAGAGUGGAAUUCCAUG
rnacentral:rRNA from 1 species